GGCAGCAGUAAGGAAUAUUGCGCAAUGGAGGAAACUCUGACGCAGCAACGCCGCGUGGGGGAUGAAGCACUAUGGUGUGUAAACCCCUGUAGACAGGGACGAACGAUAUAUAUUCGUAAGGGUAUGUAUGUGACGGUACCUGUAAAGUAAGCACCGGCUAACUCCGUGCCAGCAGCCGCGGUAAUACGGGGGGUGCAAGCGUUGUCCGGAAUUACUGGGCGUAAAGGGCGUGUAGGCGGCUUAUUAAGUCAGAUGUGAAAGCCCACAGCUUAACCGUGGAACUGCAUUUGAAACUGGUAGGCUUGAGUAUGAGAAGGGGUAGUGGAACUCCCAGUGUAGCGGUGAAAUGCGUAGAUAUUGGGAAGAACACCAGUAGCGAAGGCGACUACCUGGCUCAUUACUGACGCUAAUGCGCGAAAGCGCGGGGAGCAAACAGGAUUAGAUACCCUGGUAGUCCGCGCCGUAAACGAUGGAUACUAGAUGUUGGUUACUUUUUAAGUGAUCAGUGUCGCAGCUAACGCAUUAAGUAUCCCGCCUGGGGAGUACGAUCGCAAGGUUGAAACUCAAAUGAAUUGACGG
rnacentral:rRNA from 1 species